CCAAAUAGAGGUGAAUUUUUGUUAAUAAUUUUAUUGGGCUCCCCUUCUUCUAUAAGUUUAAAUCUAGCUAAAAAUAUAAACUACAUUUAAUGUAUAUGAAAUCACAGAAUUAAUUAAAAGAUCCUUAGUACAAAGAUUUUUUUAACUAGUUAAGCUAGAAAAAGUAAAUAAAUGAUCUAUUAGGUGCCAGCAUUCGCGGUUAUACCUAUAUUUGUUAUAUUAUUCACGGACUAGGGCCUAGUAAUAAAACCUAAAAUCUUUAGAAGUAAAAUUCUGCUUGUUUUUUUUAAUUAAUACACCUUAAAAAAUAACUAAUAAACAGGGAUUAGACACCCCUUUAUAGACCAUAAAUAUGUUCCUAGGGUAGUAGAUGAUAUACAACUUUAAACCCAAAGAAUUUGGCGGCAGUCAACCUUUCCAGAGAGACCUGUUUAUCUAUUUGACAAUCCACAUUAAAUCUUACUUUUACUAAAACUUGCAUACCGUCAUCUAAAUUCUAUCUUAAGAUAAAUAUUUUAAAGGUAACAAAAAUGUUAGAUCAACGCGCAGUAAAUAUAAAAGCUUCUAAUGGGUCUCAAUUUAAAUUAAAUAGAAAAGACUUUAAUAAACUUUAUAAAGAGGAUUUGGGUGUAAUACUUUUUUAAAAAAACAAUAUGAAUAAGCCAUUGAUUGUGUACAUAUCGCCCGUCGCCCUCGACCCGAGGUAAGUCGUAACAUAGUAGAAGUACUAGAAAGUGUUUCUUUAUUUAU
rnacentral:rRNA from 1 species